AUGCAUACGAUACAUUUAACCCUGAUUGGGUAUUGUAACGGAGCUAAACCUGUAUAGUGUGUUGUAAGUCGUCGUUACUCAUACCAACACUACUGAUAAUUUUUUCCGUAUUACAGCAAAUUCAGAACAUUUUUAAACGUCAAUGGGGGUACAAUGGGGAAUAUACUAAGAGGAUUGCUUAGCCUACUUCCCUGGUUCCAAACGACGCAACAAAACAUUCCUGAAGAAGGAUAAUGCACUGUCCACAGUACAGCACAAGCAUCAAUUAGGAGAACUGCUUAGACAACCUACAAUAUUAAAAAAGAGAAAGUACAACGAAAAGCUGACAAUACUAAAACUAAUAAAAUAUCAAGUAAGUUUUGCAAUGAAUCAAAACCUAAUAAAAUGCAUCCUAAGGAUACCAGCAUACAAAGAAGGAAAAGUCUUAAAGAUAUCGAUGGUAUAAAAAUAACUAAUAAACCAAAACCCUGUAGGCAAGAUCGAAGCAAAUUAAGAAAAAAAGCAAAGAUAAAAAAAGAAAAAGAAAUUCUAGUCAAAGAGGAAAAAACAAGAAGAGCAAGAGCAAAAACUCAAAUCCAAACUCCAGCGGAGAAGAACUCAUCUUUUGGUAAACAAAAUAUGGAAACACAGAGCAUUUCUAAUCCUCAGAAAUCAAAUAACUCUGUUAAAAACAUCAAUAUAAAUAUAACCUUUCUAAAUCCAAUUGUUUCUCUAAAUGUGCCCAUAGAACAUUUAGUUGCGUUGGGCGAACAUGGAAACUUAAAUAAAGCUGGGCCAAUCGAGAUUCCUAAAAUUGACUCUAACCUCGAUAAAACGAAAUCAAGUAAAGGUAACUGUCAAAAGAAUGAUAAUGGCAUGCACGUAAACAAAUCAUCUAAAUCGUUUACUUUACCACUUAGAAAUAAAAUAGCUGUAGAACAGGUCGUUUCCGAUACUAAAUUAGUUGGAAACAUCGAUGACCGUUGUCCCAAUGGCCCCCUUAAUGAUAGUGACUGAUACGAGUAGAAAAUUAUAAAUAUCAUAAACAAAUUCAACUUCUAACACUGAAGAUGUUGUUGGUGAUGACGGCCUCCUCGUUUUUAAC